AGUGAACGCUGGCGGUAGGCCUAACACAUGCAAGUCGAACGGCAGCACAGUAAGAGCUUGCUCUUACGGGUGGCGAGUGGCGGACGGGUGAGGAAUACAUCGGAAUCUACUUUUUCGUGGGGGAUAACGUAGGGAAACUUACGCUAAUACCGCAUACGACCUACGGGUGAAAGCAGGGGAUCUUCGGACCUUGCGCGAUUGAAUGAGCCGAUGUCGGAUUAGCUAGUUGGCGGGGUAAAGGCCCACCAAGGCGACGAUCCGUAGCUGGUCUGAGAGGAUGAUCAGCCACACUGGAACUGGGACACGGUCCAGGCUCCUACGGGGGGCAGCAGUGGGGAAUAUUGGACAAUGGGCGCAAGCCUGAUCCAGCCAUACCGCGUGGGUGGAAGAAGCCUUCGGGUUGGAAAGCCCUUUUGUUGGGAAAGAAAAGCAGCAGGUUAAUACCCCGCUGUUCUGACGGUACCCAAAGAAUAAGCACCGGCUAACUUCGUG
rnacentral:rRNA from 1 species